rnacentral:rRNA from 1 species
UGGGGAAUUUUGGACAAUGGACGCAAGUCUGAUCCAGCCGUGCCGCGUGCGGGAAGAAGGCCUUCGGGUUGUAAACCGCUUUUGUCAGGGAAGAAACGAGUUUCUCUAAUACAGAGACUUAAUGACGGUACCUGAAGAAUAAGCACCGGCUAACUACGUGCCAGCAGCCGCGGUAAUACGUAGGGUGCGAGCGUUAAUCGGAAUUACUGGGCGUAAAGCGUGCGCAGGCGGUUAUAUAAGACAGAUGUGAAAUCCCCGGGCUCAACCUGGGACCUGCAUUUGUGACUGUAUAGCUGGAGUGCGGCAGAGGGGGAUGGAAUUCCGCGUGUAGCAGUGAAAUGCGUAGAUAUGCGGAGGAACAACGAUGGCGAAGGCAAUCCCCUGGACCUGUACUGACGCUCAUGCACGAAAGCGUGGGGAGCAAACA